CCUACGGGAGGCAGCAGUGGGGAAUAUUGCACAAUGGGCGAAAGCCUGAUGCAGCGACGCCGCGUGAGGGAUGACGGCCUUCGGGUUGUAAACCUCUUUCAGCAGGGAAGAAGCGCAAGUGACGGUACCUGCAGAAGAAGCACCGGCUAACUACGUGCCAGCAGCCGCGGUAAUACGUAGGGUGCGAGCGUUGUCCGGAAUUAUUGGGCGUAAAGNGCUCGUAGGCGGCUUGUCGCGUCGGAUGUGAAAGCCCGGGGCUUAACUCCGGGUCUGCAUUCGAUACGGGCAGGCUAGAGUUCGGUAGGGGAGAUCGGAAUUCCUGGUGUAGCGGUGAAAUGCGCAGAUAUCAGGAGGAACACCGGUGGCGAAGGCGGAUCUCUGGGCCGAUACUGACGCUGAGGAGCGAAAGCGUGGGGAGCGAACAGGAUUAGAUACCCUGGUAGUCCACGCCGUAAACGUUGGGAACUAGGUAGUGGGCGACGAUUCCACGUCGUCCGUGCCGCAGCUAACGCAUUAAGUUCCCGCCUGGGGAGUACGGCCGCAAGGCUAAAACUUAAGGAAUUGACGG
rnacentral:rRNA from 1 species